AUUGAACGCUGGCGGCAGGCCUAACACAUGCAAGUCGGACGGUAGCACAGAGGGGCUUGCUCCUUGGGUGACGAGUGGCGGACGGGUGAGUAAUGUCUGGGGAUCUGCCCGAUAGAGGGGGAUAACCACUGGAAACGGUGGCUAAUACCGCAUAACGUCGCAAGACCAAAGAGGGGGACCUUCGGGCCUCUCACUAUCGGAUGAACCCAGAUGGGAUUAGCUAGUAGGCGGGGUAAUGGCCCACCUGGGCGACGAUCCCUAGCUGGUCUGAGAGGAUGACCAGCCACACUGGAACUGAGACACGGUCCAGACUCCUACGGGAGGCAGCAGUGGGGAAUAUUGCACAAUGGGCGCAAGCCUGAUGCAGCCAUGCCGCGUGUAUGAAGAAGGCCUUCGGGUUGUAAAGUACUUUCAGCGGGGAGGAAGGCGAUGCGGUUAAUAACCGCGUCGAUUGACGUUACCCGCAGAAGAAGCACCGGCUAACUCCGUGCCAGCCGCCGCCGUAA
rnacentral:rRNA from 1 species